CAAAAAGGCAGGCACCCAGAAUAGUGGACUUUUUUUUUUUUAAUAAACCAAAUUCCAGCAAGUGUUAAAAUGGGUGCAUUUGGAAAAUGACAGAGGCGUACAGCACUUCUUUGGGGUAGGAGGUUCUUGGAAUGGCAGUCCCUGUUGCUGAAGACAAAGCAUGUGUACAUCUCACCAAAGCUUGGGUUGCUGAAGAAAUCACAAAUCCCAGGAAGCGGGUGGAUGAGACAACCUUUCCUGAAGAUGUAGGAGAGUUCACCCUACAUUGUCUACAGAAGCUGAUGUGAGAGCUUGCUCCCAUCCAAGAUCCAACCCGUGCUAAACAUUUUCUACAAACUUCUAGAAACAGAACGAUAUUUUCCAUUCUUUUUAAUACUUUUUUCUUUUAGCCCCAGGAAUAUUCAGGAAACUUUUUUUUCAGCUUUUGUCACAUUUAUUUUGAACAAUUUUUUUUUUUUUUUUUGUCUUCAAAGCCUUGCAACUUGGUACACCAAUGGUCCAGAUGAGCUUUUGCUAACUUCCCUCUUGUUCUGAAUAAUUGAGGAGAAUAUAAAAGAAGCUCCACUUUCAGUUCAGUCAUUGUAAAGCAUCAAAGUUAAGCCAUUUUUCAGUACUUUUUGACUUUUUUUGUAGGAUGAAUAUAACAUACAUAGUGAUUAUCAGUUAAGAUAAAGUCAAGAUUUGGUCACAUUUGAUAGUAUUAACUCAUUUCUAUUUCUUGUAGUUCUAUUUAGAUCUAAGUUGUAUCUAUAUUUGGAUUUCUUUUAUCUUUUUUAUAUUUCUAAAUGUUUGUCUUAUGCACAGACCAAAUCUGAGAUCUCAGAAAGCUGUGAAAUAUAGUUGCCAUUAAGAGUAUUUUUUUCAACUACUUGCUCAAAAGUUACCUAAUUGUAUUAGACGGAGCAUUUCUUUGCACAGUAAAGAGUUGCCAGCGUGUUUUGAAAUGACUUAUUACGUUAGGGUUACGUUAGGAGGAACAUCAUCAGUGAGCAGUCACUCUUUCAACCCAUUGGACAAUACAAUUUCUCAUUUCGGGCCGUUUUGUGGGAAAUUUUCUGGUUUCGUGUAUAGGUUUUCACCAGCAGAAGGGAAAUUACCUCACCAUUGGCUUCUGGUGACAACAGUUAAGAUACGAUUGUAAGACAGGGAUCCUAAGAUCCUUAUGAUCUCUUUCAGAUUAUAUAACCAAAUGCUCAGUUAUACAAAAUGCCUUCUUUUUGUUUCGAUUAUGUUUUUGAGAAUUGAAAGAUGUUUGAACGAAUCUAUCAAUCAAAUUGGUAACAUUUCUAGUAACAUUCCACACUCCGAAACCAAUUUAGCAUUUUUCAAACAAAAGAGGGCAUUUUCUACCCAUCUCUUGUAUGAGCUGGCUAGGAUAUGGUGUUUUUUCAAUGUCUGAAACAAUUUGUCUUAAAUGGUUUGGAAAAAUGAACUAAAGCGGGUAAAGCUACAAUCUCUUCAGGAGAACAAACAGUAGUGUCUUGAGAAAAAUCUGGUGGCUAUAUUUCUUCCUGUCUAUCUUUCUUUCUACUCCUCCAGCAGAAAGAGGAAUCAAGAUGGAUCACUAUUUAAAACUUGCACAGCUUCAAAAGAGAAUACCUCAACAUCAAAAGAGAAACAUUUCACGUACAAAAAAUAUAUAUAUUUUUUAAACAUGGCCCUUUAGAAUACUGUUCUAUCCUAUGUGUAUAUUGAGGUUUUGCUCUAUAACUGAUUUGACAAAAUUGAUUUUUAUUCCAUGAUUAAAGGAAGCUGUAAACUUUCAAUAUAUUUAUUUCUUUGGGGAAAACCAAAGGACUGUGGUCCUCCUCUUUGUUCCAUGGAAUUACUAGGUCUUAACCAUCUUGCAUAAUUUUCAGCUUUUGUUAUUAAAAUAUUUUAAAUCAUCCAUUUUGUUAUCAACAUAGAAAAUCCUCAAGUAAUUGCCUAAUGAACUCAUGAAUGUGUCUGCUGAUAUAUGUGUUGGCAGAUACAUAUCUUUCUUUAAGUUUUCUUUCUUUUAAUUUCUCAUUGGAUAGAAGAUUAAGAAAAAAUACAUGAGAGACACAUUGAAAAUAAGUCAAGAUCAGGUUCUAUUUCUGAUAAGCAUCUUUUAAGAAUGUCAAAUUGGUAUGUGUUUUAGCUUUUAAAUUGUUUUCCAUUUAUGUUGGUGCUAAUGUAUUUCUCUUUCUUUAUGGAAAAUGCAAUUCUACUAUGGAUAAUUUCAUUUCUCUGUUUAACAGCAUUCCUAAACUGUUAGUGUGUGAUUUUAAUUUUAAAGUUUAUGGAUUCACUAUAAUUAUGGUUCAAUGACCAGUCUUUCUUAAUGUAAAAGAAAACAAAACAGCGUACCCUUAGGUGAUGUGUGUUUGUUUGGAUUGUGGAUCCUCUUAUUUCAUGUUCAUUGUCAUGUAUCAUAUGCCUUUAUCAACUUUCAUCUUUUAGCUUAUAUAAUUUGAGUGACAAAACCAACAUUAGACAACCUGCAUACAUUCAUAGAGUACCUGACACAUAAAUAUGCUGAAAUUUUUCUUCUAGUUUUCAUUUUCAUUAUGAAAAGCAGUCAUGAAAGGUUUUUCUUAUUUGAUUUCAUAGAAAACAUGAGAAUAUCUUUAAUUUCUACCAGAAAUGAUCUGUUCUUAAACCUUGUGCAUGAUGUUCUGAUGAGACAGUAAGAACUCUGAUUCACCCAGUAGUUCAAUCUAUAUAUGCUCUGUCUACUAUAUGUAUAUAUAUAUACACACACCUCUCUGCUAGUUUGGAAAUGAUCAAAUCAGCAUGAUCAAAUUAGGACAUUAAUGGAAAAAUUAAUGGAAAUUAAUGGAAAAAAUAACUGGUAUCAUAUCUUUAUCACUUAGAAAACAUGCUUAAUUUUCCAAAGUUUUAUUUUUAAUGUUUCUAUUGUAGUAUAAAAAGUUAACACAAUAUUUCAUUCUUUUUUUUUGACCAUUAUAUAUAUUCUUGCCCAGAAAUACACAAUGCUUGUUAAGGUGGGUGAUGUUUUUAAUGUCUCCUAAUAAAUGAUCAUAGGAACAUGCAGAUAUUGAUAUUUGAAAUCUUGUUUUUCUCUACUUCUUGAUAAUGAAUUUAUAUUAAUAGUUACUAUUACCAAAAAUGAACUUUUAAAAUUUUUACCAAAACAAACAAAAACCUUGCUGUAUCUAAAAAGUCAGGACCACAACAACUUAAUCUUAUAUUCUCAAGAAUAAAGAUUAACAACAGUCACCUGUGAUUCUGGCUGUUAAAAUAAUUCAUUCCUAAUGGAAUUAACAUACUUGACCAGUUAUAAUUCUGCUAAGUUAUUUUAGAAUUUAAAGACCUUCAGUCCCUAAUCUUUCCCAUUUUUGUUGAAAUAGCUUCAUAUCAGCUAGAUUUACUAUAUGCCAUAGCAGAGAUACCCUUACAACUUAAAUUUUAAGUGGAUUUUGUUUUUGCUAAUUCAAUACUGAAACAUUUUAAUGGCAUUUCUCAUUUUUUAAUGUAUUUAAAUGCAGAAGUUAUCCUAUGCUGCUUAUUGACAAAACUGUCCUUUGGGGAAUAAGAAGACUUUUUCAACCUGACCUAUUACAUUUGAUUUACUGAUAACAAAGUACCAACAUUUCUCAAAAUGCAGUGGAUAUUCUCAUAUAUCUCAGAAAUAUUAAUUGGAUUCACAAAAGAAUGUCUUACAUAUCAUUGACAUUUAUGUGAAUAUUCUUUAUACUGUUGUAAAUGUUUCAUGCAAUUUAAUAACAUUUUUAAAAGAUGUAUGUAUCUGAUUUUCCUUUAGAAAAUAUAUUUUUAUUUGUAUUUUUUACAUUUUAAAGUUCAUCUCUAUGUGCAGCUAUUUUUAUAUUGCCAAAAAAAAUCACAUAAAUACAAAAUGAGAGAAAAUGCAAAAAAAAAAUAUUUUGGCAAGCAUUACACUGCAUAUUUUUCUUACUGUUGUGUGGGCCAGUCUCAUGUAAUUGAUUAUUCUAAGAAUGUGUUGUGUCUUACCACUGUAAAUAUGGCACAAACCUGUUUUUCUUGAUAGUAUAAAUAAUUGAAAGAUUGAAUUCUCCCUGUUUGAUUUCUUGUUUCAUUUCACGAUCAUUUCUCCAGCUGAGAUUACAGAAUCAAAAGACACAGUGGUUUUUGAUUUGCAGCCUGGAGAUAACUGCCUUGUGUUCAGUUUCUGAUUUGUUUUUAUUUGCUUUUUUAACUUGUUUUCAGGGUUCCUAGUUUGUGAGAAGUUGAUCUUCAUAAUUAUUUUUACACUAUUUAUGACUUAUUUUCAUAAUGUAAAAAGUGUGUAAUUAUUACAAUAUUAAUCCAAACAUGGUCAUGAAUUGUAUUGCUAUAAAGCUUUAUUGAUGUUCACGAACACCGUGGUCUGUCUUCUC
rnacentral:lncRNA from 1 species